UCACUGGGCGUGAAGCGCAUGCAGNCGGCCUGGUAAGUUUGGACGUGAAAGCCCCGUGCCUAACGCGGGGAGGUCGGACAAUACUGCCAAGCUAGAGUGCGUCAGAGGGGAGUGGAAUUUCCGGAGUAGCGGUAAAAUGCGCAGAUAUCGGAAGGAACACCAGUGGCGAAAGCGACUCCCUGGGGCGCGACUGACGCUAAGAGGCGAAAGCUAGGGGAGCGAACAGGAUUAGAGACCCUGGUAGUCCUAGCCCUAAACGAUGGAUGCUAGGUGUGGGACGUAAAGUUCCGUGCCGGAGCCAACGCGAUAAGCAUCCCGCCUGGGGACUACGGUCGCAAGGCUAAAACUCAAACGAAUUGACGGGGACCCGCACAAGCAGCGGAGCGUGUGGUUCAAUUCGAUGCUACACGAAGAACCUUACCUGGGUUUGACAUGUACGUGGUAGAGAAGCGAAAGCGGAUUGACCCUUCGGGGAGCGUACACAGGUGCUGCAUGGCUGUCGUCAGCUCGUGCCGUGAGGUGUCGGGUUAAGUCCCGUAACGAGCGCAACCCUUAUCCUUAGUUGCACGUAUCUAGGGAGACUGCCGGCGGGAAGCCGGAGGAAGGUGGGGAUGACGUCAAGUCAGCAUGGCCCUUAUGUCCAGGGCUACACACACGCUACAAUGGCCGGUACAAAGGGCAGCAGAGUCGCGAGGCGGAGCGAAUCCCAACAAAGCCGGUCGUAGUUCGGAUUGCAGGCUGCAACUCGCCUGCAUGAAGCUGGAGUUGCUAGUAACCGCGCGUCAGCUAUAGUGCGGUGAAUACGUACCCGGGUCUUGUACACACCGCCCGUCACGUCAUGGAAGUCGGUAACGCCUGAAGGCGGUAGCCUAGCUCGGAAGAGGGGGCGCUGUCGAAGGCGGGACUGGCAACUGGGACGAAGUCGUA
rnacentral:rRNA from 1 species